UUUUGAUUAUCGUGUGAAAAUGUGCACGAGAAAGACAGCGGAGUGGAAGGAGGAACUUUCUGGAACCAAGGAGGAGACGGAGUCACAACUUCUCCAAGUGGACGCUGUGUUCCGACCGCCUCGAGAUGCGCGGAGCGGAGCAGAUGUCGCUGAAGAAGGUCUCGGUCCUGAGCAGCAGAAGCCCGAGCCUCCUCACGUGAAAGAGGAAGAGGAGGAGGCCGAUAUCACCCGGUUCCCAGUGGCGGCUGGCGUUGUGAAGCGGGAAGACGAUGAAGAGCGAGACGCCAUUGAAGGUCUUCGUCCUGAGCGUCAGGAGCCAGAGCGCACGCACUUUAAAGAAGAGGAUGAUAUCGCAAAGUUUCCCUUGAUUGGUGUCAUUGUGAAGCGGGACGAAGGCGAUGACGGAUCCCAAUCAGGUGGCCUCAUAGCUCCGCUGUCAGAUAGUGACGACAUAACGUCGCACUCCCCUGACACUGUUGUUGCAGAUGAUGAUGAAUACGCUCAAGGUGUUUUGACACGUCACACUCACAACAAACUUGUUAAAUGCUCUCAUUGUGACAAAACCUUUUACAAGUCGUCACUGAAAAGACACAAAAGAACACACACCGGAGAAAAACCUUUCGCAUGCUCAGUUUGUGGUAAAAGAUUCUCGAUCAAAACAAAUUUAGCAAGGCACACAAAAACACACACUGGAGAGAAACCUUUUUUCUGCUCAGUUUGCGGCAAACGAUUCUCUUUAAAAACAAAUUUAACAACGCACGCAAGGACACACACGGGGGAGAAACCUUUUGCUUGCUUAGUUUGUGGAAAAGGAUUCUCGAUAAAGACAAAUUUAACAACGCACAUGAGAACUCAUGCUGGAGAGAAGCCAUUUGCCUGCUCAUUUUGUGCUAAAAGAUUCACUCAAAAGGAGCAUUUAAUAGUGCACACUAGAACACACACUGGGGAGAAGCCCUUUGUCUGCUCAGUUUGCAGCUUAAGUUUCAGUGAAGGUUCAACAUUGGUUCAACACAUGCGUACACACACUGGGGAGAAACCCUAUUCCUGCUCAGUAUGCAGUAAAAGUUUCUCUACAAAGACCAAUUUAACAACACACACACGGACACACGCUGGUGAGAAUUCUUUUUCCUGCGAAGUUUGUGGUAAAAGAUUCAUUCGAGAGGGACAUUUAAUCGCACAUACAAAAACACACACUGGGGAGGAACACGGUUCCUGCGAAGUUUGUGGUAAACAAUUCUCUCAAAGGGCAAGUUUGACAAGACACGCAAGAACACACAGUGGUGAGAAACCUUUUGCCUGUUCCGUGUGUGGCAAAAGAUUCUCCAGAAAGGCGCAUUUAAGAACACACACAAGAACACACACUGGGGAGAAACCCUUUUCCUGCUCAGUUUGCGGCCAAAGAUUCUCCUUAAAGACAAAUUUAACGAUACACAUAAGAAGGCACACUGGUGAGAAACCUUUCAGUUGUAGUGCAUGUGAUAAAAGAUUCGCUCAUAAGUGCCAGGUCACGAAACACAAGUGCGCCGGCGGGCAGGGCAACGCUCAAAGAAUAAACCGAAGAACCUGAGGCUAUGUUCGGAAAUAACUGACUCAUUCCCUAAUCACUAUGUCCCAAUUUCUUAUUUUGUUAUAGUGGACAACAGAUUCCACUAAAACUAUAGAUUUCACAAAGUGACAGUCUUCGCAAUCCUUGGCUCAUUCCCUACUCCCUAAUCGCUAUUUUUGAAAUGCUAUAUAGUGGUCUGUCAAAUAAAAAAUGAGAACAUGUUUUCGACUAGCACACAUGUAAGCAUUAAGCUAGCGGACCUUUGUUAUACAACAUAUCUUUUGGAUGAACAUUAUGGUGAUUAAAUAUACAAAGAUGAAUUUUCUUUUUCUUACUGCAUGUGUCAGUAACAGUAAAGCUCUACUGGAAGUUCCAAACCGCUCGAAGCAAGCACACUUUGUCUCUAAUCGGAGAACUAUGCGAGUGGGACAAGAAGAACGGGUGCGAAUGAAUACUUUCAAAAAAGUUCGAAUGCGGUGUCAAAUAAAAUAAAUAUUGUCGAAAUGGUCUGUACAUUGUGACAAUCUCCAGUGCUACCCUGUAAAGAGCAUAUGAUUGUUUAAUACUAUUGAAAGAAAAUCCAUAAAAUAAGACUGAAUUGGAAAAUGUAAUGAAAACAUCAGCUAGAUUGAAUGCACUGAUCAUAAAUUGAUAUCUGAAGAUGUGUACAAAUUUAAUCUCAUCCGAAUAUUCUGUUAGUGAUUAACGUUACAAAAGAUGCAAAAAUAAUAUAGUAUAAAUACAAGCAGCACAUCGACUGUCCUACCAGGGAAAAUAACAUUUUGGACCACUGCUAUACGACGUUAAAAAACGCAUGCCGUGCCAAACUUCGUGCAGCACUGGGCUCGUCCGAUCACUGCUUAAUUCACUUAAUACCGACGUACAGGCAAGAACUUAAAAGUGCGAAGCCUACGGUGAAAACAGUGAAAAAGUGGACCACUGAAGUAAAGAUGGAACUUCGAAGGUGCUUAGACUGCACAGACUGGAGUGUCUUUGAAAAUUCAGCCGGCAGCCUGGCUGAAUAUACGGACACUGUCACAUCCUAUAUCAGUUUCUGUGAAGAGGUUUGCGUACCAACAAAGUCAUUUCGCACAUUCAAUAAGGCAUCCGAAUCAGAUGCCCCAGCCACCUCAUCUGGCUGGUAAAUCGAGAGCUUCGCCUUUCAGCUUAGCUUCUUCUUCACAACAACUGCCACGUCGGACCGGCAUCUUCCUCCACUAUCGGAGCCAACUCACAACCAGGUGGUGAUCAGUUGACAGCUCCGCCCCUCUCUUCACCCGAGUGUCCAAGACAUGCGGCCGCAAGUCCGAUGGCACGACCACAAAGUCGAUCCUCGAACUGCGACCUAGGGUGUCUUGGUGCCAAGUGCACGUGUGGACACCCUUAUGCUUGAACAUGGUGUUCGUUAUGGACAAUCCGUGGUGAGCACAGAAGUCCAAUAUCAGAACACCGCUCGAGUUCUGACCCUUCCAGGUCUCACUGUCAUUGCCCACGUGAGCAUUGAAGUCCCC